rnacentral:rRNA from 1 species
GCCCUGAAGGAACGUUGAAGACGACGACGUUGAUAGGCCGGGUGUGUAAGCGCAGCGAUGCGUUGAGCUAACCGGUACUAAUGAACCGUGAGGCUUAACCUUACAACGCCGAAG